GGCUUCGUAGCUCAGUUGGUACAGAGCUUGUCGCGUUUGGGCACGCUGUUUCUGUUGCUGGUUCGAAUCCAAGUCAAAGCCU